UAGGGAAUCUUCCGCAAUGGACGCAAGUCUGACGGAGCAACGCCGCGUGAGUGAAGAAGGAUUUCGGUUCGUAAAACUCUGUUGUUAGAGAAGAACAGCGCAUAGAGUAACUGUUAUGCGUGUGACGGUAUCUAACCAGAAAGCCACGGCUAACUACGUGCCAGCAGCCGCGGUAAUACGUAGGUGGCAAGCGUUGUCCGGAUUUAUUGGGCGUAAAGCGAGCGCAGGCGGUCAAUUAAGUCUGAUGUGAAAGCCCCCGGCUCAACCGGGGAGGGUCAUUGGAAACUGGUUGACUUGAGUGCAGAAGAGGAGAGUGGAAUUCCAUGUGUAGCGGUGAAAUGCGUAGAUAUAUGGAGGAACACCAGUGGCGAAGGCGACUCUCUGGUCUGUAACUGACGCUGAGGCUCGAAAGCGUGGAUAGCAAACAGG
rnacentral:rRNA from 1 species